CAGCAGCCGCGGGAAAACAGAGGGUGCGAGCGUUAAUCGGAUUUACUGGGCGUAAAGCGUGCGUAGGCGGCUUCUUAAGUCGGAUGUGAAAUCCCUGAGCUUAACUUAGGAAUUGCAUUCGAUACUGGGAAGCUAGAGUAUGGGAGAGGAUGGUAGAAUUCCAGGUGUAGCGGUGAAAUGCGUAGAGAUCUGGAGGAAUACCGAUGGCGAAGGCAGCCAUCUGGCCUAAUACUGACGCUGAGGUACGAAAGCAUGGGGAGCAAACAGGAUUAGAUACCCCCGUAGUCCCUGUCUCUUAUAA
rnacentral:rRNA from 1 species